rnacentral:rRNA from 1 species
UACGGAGGGGUCGAGCGUUAUUCGGAUUCACUGGGCGUAAAGGGCGCGUAGGCGGGGUCGUGGGUCGGCCGUGAAAUCCACCGGCUCAACCGGUGAACUGCGGUCGAAACUACGACUCUUGAGCUCGGUAGAGGAAGGCGGAAUUCCUGGUGUAGCGGUGGAAUGCGUAGAUAUCAGGAGGAACACCGGUAGCGAAGGCGGCCUUCUGGGCCGUAGCUGACGCUGAGGCGCGAAAGCCGGGGGAGCGAACAGGAUUAGAUACCCGCGUA